rnacentral:rRNA from 1 species
GAUGAACGCUAGCUACAGGCUUAACACAUGCAAGUCGUGGGGCAGCAUGACUGAAGCUUGCUUCAGUUGAUGGCGACCGGCGCACGGGUGAGUAACGCGUAUCCAACCUUCCCAUGACAGGGGAAUAACCUUGCGAAAGUAAGACUAAUGCCCCAUGGUCUCCGACGACGGCAUCAGACUCGGAGUAAAGGCCUCGGCCGGUGAUGGAUGGGGGAUGCGUCCGAUUAGCUUGACGGCGGGGUAACGGCCCACCGUGGCACCGAUCGGUAGGGGUUCUGGAGAGGAAGGUCCCCCACGAUUGGAACUGAGACACGGUCCAAACUCCUACGGGAGGCAGCAGUGAGGAA